AGACAGAGCUCUCAACAUGCCCUAACAAGGAGGCCAGGAGGCUUUCAGUGGGAGAAAUCAGAUCCAUGUGUUGAACACUGAUGCAGGACACAGGAGCCAGAAGUCCUUCGAGGAGGGGGAACCCAAGGCUCAGCACUGCUAGGACAAGUGGACAAAAAUGAAGUCAUCAAAUGGGAUCCGGGGAAUCAAUCUCUUGCCAGCUGGCUGAAAUCCUCACCAUUGAUGAUCAACCUCAAGACUAAGAAUGUUUAAUCUGGAAAUAGAACCAGGGAUAGAACUAAGUACCCAUUGAUCGGAUCUUCAUCUUGCAUGCAGAAUCUGGAAAUUGAAGAAAAAAAAAAAAAAAGGCAUCCAAAAUGGGCUGAAAAUAUUUGAAGAACAAUCGGGCUUGCCCUCCACCAUGGACUCAAUUUCCCAAAUGAUAACAAAGGUUCAGAGAACCUCAUGACUCACACUAGUCCCUUCUG